GAUCAAAGUGUAGUAUCUGUUCUUAUCAGCUUAAUAUCUGAUACGGUCUCCAUCGGGGGCCAUGAUAUUAAACUGAUUUUUGGAAGGCGGCGGAGUGCUUGGAGCUUGCUCCACCUCUGCCACGGGUUGAC
rnacentral:snRNA from 1 species